AAAGUCGUAACAAGGUUUCCGUAGGUGAACCUGCGGAAGGAUCAUUAAUAAGUAGUAACACAUUAGUGUUUUGUGAAUAGUCUAGUGCCUUUGGGGUGCUACGUAUAACAUUUGUUGCCAUGAAAUUGUGUACAGCAGUAUAAACUUUAAAUAACUUUUAACAAUGGAUCUCUUGGCUCUC
rnacentral:misc_RNA from 1 species